CCAGCCAAGUAGCGUGCAGGAUGACGGCCCUAUGGGUUGUAAACUGCUUUUAUGUGAGAAUAAAGUUAGGUAUGUAUACUUAUUUGCAUGUAUCACAUGAAUAAGGACCGGCUAAUUCCGUGCCAGCGAGCCGCGGUAAU
rnacentral:rRNA from 1 species